CGCUCUUAUGCCUAAAUUUUUAAAGAAACAAAUGUUUAGGGCAAUGUUUUAAAGGGAAAAAUUGAUAAAUAUUCUCUCUAACUUUUCCCCUCGUCGCUCACCUCUGGUCAGCGCCUCGAUCACCAUCGCCCUCUCAUUAGCAACCUUCACCGUUGGGACCUCGUCGUGGCUGUCACCUCCAACGUCGGUGACCAACUUGGAAUGACUCUUCUGUUUGCUAUCUCAUAUAGGUUUAGCUUCGUUCAUAUGCUCUCAGUUCUUCUACAGCUGCAUAUUCGAAGUUUCAUUUGUAGGUUGAGUGGAUUGCUUUUUAUGCUGGAACUCAAAGAAUCGUAGCAGGAUUAUGACCACUAAUUCUUAAUUCACAAGCAUCUACAUGUAUACAAUCAGGUUUAUUUUAAGGGUUAUAGCAUCUUUUUCUGAAUGCAUUCAAGAAGCCACAAAAAUUGUCCUAGAAAGACUAGUUUGAGGUUCUUGAUAACUUUUCUAUGGAUCCUAAUAAUUCUCCUCUAGGAAUUCAUAGAUCCCCAUCUGAAAGUCAUCAUGACAAUGGUAAAUACUUUCAACUUGGAUAACCAAGUGAUCAAUGAUUCUUUUUAUAUGUCACGAUUAUUAGUGAUAUUCAUAUAUAUUUUUGUGACUUGUUAUGGUUAUUUUAAAAGAAAUAAAUGUAAGUGGGAUAAAAAAAGAGGAGCAAUUAUACAAAGUUCAUCUUCAUGUCGACUUUCGUGUUUCUUUGUGAACUAGUAUUUAUAUUGAUGGUGUAUUAUCUUGAGUAGUUACUAGCACAAUGUUUAGACUUAUAAUGCAUCUUAGAAGAUAGUUUUGUUUUAUGUUUGAAAAUAUUAUUGUAAGACAAGUUAAGUUUUAAUUUAAAUAAUGUCUUUGUGUUUUUCUUUUAUUA